rnacentral:lncRNA from 12 species
CUUGUAUGGGCUUGCUUAAGAGAUGGAGAGAGUUAUGGCUUUGUCUCCUCCUUUACAGAGCAAUGACAAAGCAUCAAAUGACUGUGAGAAAUGUCAGUGCAGGCUGGAAGUAAUGAGCUGCAUCAGCAGGAUGCAAUUGGAAGGGGCAGGGGCCAAGAAACCUUUGCAAGGACUCAAAACUCAACACGCAGAGUAAGCAGACCAGCAUUGCUGAAGCCAGAGGAG